rnacentral:rRNA from 1 species
GUCCUAGCCGUAAACGGUGCUUGCUUGCUGUAAAAGGAAUCGACCCCUUUUGUGGCGGAGCUAACGCGUUAAGCAAGCCGCCUGGGGAAGUACGGUCGCAAGAUUAAAACUCAAAGAAAUUGACGGGGCCUGCACAAGCGGUGGAGUAUGUGGCUUAAUUCGAUGCAACGCGAAGAACCUUACCUGGCCUUGACAUGCAAGUAGUAGAAUCCUGAAAGGGAGACGAGGUAGCAAUACCAGCUUGCACAGGUGCUGCAUGGCUGUCGU